GAUGAAGAACGCAGCGAAAUGCGAUAAGUAGUGUGAAUUGCAGAAUUCAGUGAAUCAUCGAAUCUUUGAACGCACAUUGCGCCUCCUGGCAUUCCGGGAGGCAUGCCUGUUCGAGCGUCAUUGCUGCCCUCAAGCACGGCUUGUGUGUUGGGCCCCGUCCUCCGAUCCCGGGGGACGGGCCCGAAAGGCAGCGGCGGCACCGCGUCCGGUCCUCGAGCGUAUGGGGCUUUGUCACCCGCUCUGUAGGCCCGGCCGGCGCUUGCCGAUCAACCCAAAUUUUUAUCCAGGUUGACCUCGGAUCAGGUAGGGAUACCCGCUGAACUUAAGCAUAUCAAUAAGCGGAGGA
rnacentral:misc_RNA from 1 species